GACAUGCCGCUGACCGGUGCAGAGAUGCAUCUUUACCCUUCGGGUACAGCGGACACAGGUGGUGCAUGGUUGUCGUCAGCUCGUGUCGUGAGAUGUUGGGUUAAGUCCCGCAACGAGCGCAACCCUUGUCUUUAGUUGCCAUCAUUAAGUUGGGCACUCUAAAGAGACUGCCGAUGACAAAUCGGAGGAAGGUGGGGAUGACGUCAAAUCAUCAUGCCCUUUAUGUCCUGGGCUACACACGUGCUACAAUGGUCGGUACAACGAGAAGCAAGUCAGCGAUGGCAAGCAAAUCUCUAAAAGCCGAUCCCAGUUCGGAUUGCAGGCUGCAACUCGCCUGCAUGAAGUCGGAGUUGCUAGUAAUCGCGGAUCAGAAUGCCGCGGUGAAUGCGUUCCCGGGUCUU
rnacentral:rRNA from 2 species